rnacentral:rRNA from 1 species
AUGAACGCUGGCGGCGUGCCUAAUACAUGCAAGUCGAGCGAACAGACGAGGAGCUUGCUCCUCUGACGUUAGCGGCGGACGGGUGAGUAACACGUGGAUAACCUACCUAUAAGACUGGGAUAACUUCGGGAAACCGGAGCUAAUACCGGAUAAUAUAUUGAACCGCAUGGUUCAAUAGUGAAAGACGGUUUUGCUGUCACUUAUAGAUGGAUCCGCGCCGCAUUAGCUAGUUGGUAAGGUAACGGCUUACCAAGGCAACGAUGCGUAGCCGACCUGAGAGGGUGAUCGGCCACACUGGAACUGAGACACGGUCCAGACUCCUACGGGAGGCAGCAGUAGGGAAUCUUCCGCAAUGGGCGAAAGCCUGACGGAGCAACGCCGCCUGAGUGAUGAAGGUCUUCGGAUCGUAAAACUCUGUUAUUAGGGAAGAACAAAUGUGUAAGUAACUAUGCACGUCUUGACGGUACCUAAUCAGAAAGCCACGGCUAACUACGUG